rnacentral:rRNA from 1 species
GAUGAACGCUGGCGGCGUGCCUAAUACAUGCAAGUCGAGCGAACAGGCGAGGAGCUUGCUCCUCUGACGUUAGCGGCGGACGGGUGAGUAACACGUGGAUAACCUACCUAUAAGACUGGGAUAACUUCGGGAAACCGGAGCUAAUACCGGAUAAUAUAUUGAACCGCAUGGUUCAAUAGUGAAAGACGGUUUUGCUGUCACUUAUAGAUGGAUCCGCGCCGCAUUAGCUAGUUGGUAAGGUAACGGCUUACCAAGGCAACGAUGCGUAGCCGACCUGAGAGGGUGAUCGGCCACACUGGAACUGAGACACGGUCCAGACUCCUACGGGAGGCAGCAGUAGGGAAUCUUCCGCAAUGGGCGAAAGCCUGACGGAGCAACGCCGCGUGAGUGAUGAAGGUCUUCGGAUCGUAAAACUCUGUUAUUAGGGAAGAGCAAAUGUGUAAGUAACUAUGCACGUCUUGACGGUACCUAAUCAGAAAGCCACGGCUAACUACGUG